CUGAUGAUAUCACUUUGUUAACAAACACAUUGUUUGUAUUAAUCACUGGUUCAAAUGUUUGGGUUGCUCUGUUUGUAUUCAACUCCAGUUUAUUUGUUUCAUUAUAAAUUGGCAUUUUUAUAGAUCCAUAAGAUGGUCUUAUUUAUAUAUUUUAAAAUAUUAUCAAAGACACAGUAAACAGUAUUUUUUGAUGAUGUGUUGAUGCAUUAACUUCCAUACUACUCUUAUCGGUACCAUUAUUCAAAUGAGGACAACACAAAUUCAAAUAAAUCUACUUGUUCAGCAGUUGCAUAUUAUCAUAAACAGCAAAGUUUAGGGGUUAACUGCAGGCGAUUUAGUUGAAACACCAAUAAUGAAAUGAAAUAGUCGAUUGAUCAAACAACUAGUGGUGAUGAAGAUGCUAAAGGAGAUGAGUUGUGAGUCAGGAAACUUGAAGAAUCGUGAGGCAAACCUGAUUUAUAUCAUGAAAAGGUUUUGUCAAAAACAAUUUCUAUGUAAAAUAUGAACAAUUUCAACCGCCAGAUUAGACGAUUUCAGAUGGCCCGAAAGCAAAAGCUAAAAACGAUUAAGAUACAUAUAAAAGCCAGAAAUUUUAGAGAAUCUGCCCUUUAAAUGUUUAACAUGAGACCAUUUCGGUUUUGCCUCAAACAAAACGGCCAUCAGGAUAAACUCUUUACCAUUUAAACCGCUUAUCAUCCAUAGAUUUGGGUAUAAAAGUCAAUUCUUUGUCUUACCUAGACAUAUUCAAAGUAUCAUCAUGGAUAUUAAAUCGAUUCUCGUUUAUAUUUUCUUCAUGGUCCAUUUCUCAAAUGCCAAUAUUCUCACAGAUUGGUACUCUAGUUUAAAUAAAAAUAUCAAUAAAGCAGCUAAUUAUGGUGAAGAAAUGCUAAAGUCAAAAGGUGAAUUGUACAUACAACCAGCUAAGCCGACACCUAAAUCUGUCUACAAGCCUGUUGAACCCUUGGUUGAAAAGAAAGAAAAAGAACUUCAAGAAAUUUGUAAUUUAACCUUAAAAAAGUCUGAUAUUGUGAUACUUACAAUGGUCAUGAAAGAAAAGAGGAAAGCUUUCGAGCCAAUUUUCAUUGAUCCCAAAACAUUGGAAUUGAGCUUUAGAGUUGAAAAAGGCAAAAAGGUUUCAUCUUUAAUAGGUGCUCUCAGCACGAUUAAAGUCCACAAGAAAUUUGGCCUCGAAAAAAUUCCCAUCAACUUACAAGUGCCACACAAAAUAUUGUCCAAAUUACCAAAGUUGAGUAAUGAUGACUAUGUAAUAUUAACAAUCAUCAGACAAAACAAAGGAAAACCAGCAAAAGUCGUUUCUCACUUUGUGGAUACAAUAAGUGUUGCUCCAACACAUGAUAAAUCAUAUUAACAAAAGUAUCAAAUGAAAUAUAUUGAAUUGUAAAUUUUGUUAGACUUUAAAUCGGUCUAAUUAUUGUAAGCCUUUCUACUGUGCCAAUGAAUAAUAAAUAUAAAAUGUAAAUUAACAAAAAUUUGAAAUUUCUUUAUUAUCAAUAUCAUAUUGGAUGAGCGUAAGAAAAUUUUAGAUACUACAGAUUUUUCUUUUAGUUAGUUUUUUUAGUUUUUGGUUUUUGGUUUACAAUAGCAAGCAUCACUUACUCCUGGUCCACCACAAAUUACACAUCUUCCUUGAUACGAACCAUAAUAACAUUCAUCACAUAUUCUGACAACGUUGAAGGGCGAACAUAACUGUCACAAAUGAAUUUAGUCAAUAUCCAGUGCUGCCAUCUAAUGAUCUAUAUUUCAUAAUGAAAUAUAUUUAUUUCCAAUGAAUCAUUAGUAAUGAUGAACCUAGAAUGUUAGUUGUAGGUGUAUUACCAUUCGCGAAAUAUCGAUGUUCCAAGUUUUUAGGUUAACUCUGCUGGUCACAGAAUGCGAAAUAUUUAAUUGAAAAUCGAACUUGUUAUCCAAAAACAAAAAGUUUUAUUUAUCAAAAGGAAUUAUUAUUUCUGGCGGUCCUGGCUCCGUUUAUUCCAACGAUUCACUACCCUAUGA